rnacentral:rRNA from 1 species
UACGAAGGGUGCAAGCGUUACUCGGAAUUACUGGGCGUAAAGCGUGCGUAGGUGGUUCGUUAAGUCUGAUGUGAAAGCCCUGGGCUCAACCUGGGAAUGGCAUUGGAUACUGGCGAUCGUAGAGUGCGGUAGAGGGCAGUGGAAUUCCCGGUGUAGCAGUGAAAUGCGUAGAGAUCGGGAGGAACAUCUGUGGCGAAGGCGAACUGCCUGGACCAGCACGUGACACUGAGGCACGAAAGCGUGGGGAGGCAA